UACGGGGGGAGCAAGCGUUGUUCGGAUUUACUGGGCGUAAAGGGCGCGUAGGCGGCCAGCACAAGUCAGUUGUGAAAUCUCCGAGCUUAACUCGGAACGGUCAACUGAUACUGUGCGGCUAGAGUGCGGAAGGGGCAACUGGAAUUCUUGGUGUAGCGGUGAAAUGCGUAGAUAUCGAGAGGAACACCUGCGGCGAAGGCGGGUUGCUGGGCCAGCACUGACGCUCAUGCACGAAAGCGUGGGGAGCAAACAGG
rnacentral:rRNA from 1 species